rnacentral:lncRNA from 1 species
UAUAACUUGUUCGAUGUGUGUAAGAGAGAGAUGCGGACGCAAAGGUAAUUUCCAAUCUAGGGUUUCUCAUUUAGCACCUCCAUUACCUCGUCCUCUGUUUUCGUCUUCUUCUUGUCAUACAUACAAUUACGUAUAGUUACAUUUAUAAUAUAAUAAAUAGAAAAUAAUUCACAUUUACGGUUAUGACUUAAACGACAAACUCAUCAUAUAUAUCAUUCUACAACUAUAUCAUAUAUUAUCUAUAAUAAAAAAAUUUCUUCAAAUAUGUAUAUUGAUAAAAAAAUAAUUUGAGCCUGCGAGUUAAAGUCUAGUUAACAUUGAACAUUACUAUUUCCCGUCGAUAAACGCAAAUCUUUUUUUUUUUUAUCUCCAUAGAGUUGAGAUAAAUUAGAUUUCUUUGUUCUUUGUUUCGCAAAACAUUUCGAUCUUGAUAUUUAAUUUCUUUUAAAUUUUGUUUUUCUAUACUUUGUAAAACAUAAGCGGAAGCGGAAAAAAUGCUGAAUGUGAUCGCGAACAUACAAACAAUUGAUAAUCUAUAUGUAAAAGCAAACAAAAACACAGUCAAUGCCAAGAAGAAGAAAGAAUAGAAGCAGAUAACAAGCCUUGUCACCAAUGUUGUUGUCGUAUAUUGGCUUACGGUUCCGGUUUACGGUUUCAAUCGUGUAAUUUGGUUUAGUGCUUCCGACCAGGCGCAUUGGGUUAUUAUGGUUUGGUUUAUUUCCCGUUAAGUAAUAUUGUAUUAGAAAAACAAACAACCAAAAAUAUAAAUACAGUUUGAAAAGGUUAAAAAAAAAUGUUGUUGUUGUAAAGCCGGUCGAGACUCGAGACCCUUAUAGAAUAGGCCUUCGUCGGAAGUGGCACAAGUGCUUUGAAUGUACUUGUUUAGAUGAUGACCGAGAGUGUAUAAAUUUUAAAUUCAAGUUUUAUGUUUUUUAUGAUUCCGAUUGAUGAGUGUACAAUUUCAAAUUCAAGUUAUAUAAUUCUAUAUAAUUCUAAAUUCUAUGGGUCCCUAUAAAUCUAUUUUCUUCUAUC